UUCCCAGAAUCCUCAUAAGAAGGCCAUGCCCAACUAGUGCCCCUCUCAGGAAAAUAGCAGCUAGAAUAGAAUAUGGCCUGCCCAAGAUGUCCUUGGGUGAAAAGAAUGCUCUUCUCCUUUUGCCCUCCUUUGGCAUCCUACAUAG
rnacentral:snoRNA from 1 species